CCCGGAGCGCCUGGGACGCGACUGACAACUUUUCAGGUUUGGUUUGAAUUUCAAAUCUCCUUUACUUUAUCUCUAACGGCUAUAUUUGCUUUUUGGGCUAUAAAAGGGAGCUCUUAAGUGCUUCUCAACAACUUCUAACCAACCCAAAGCAAAAUCAUUCAAGAGAGAAGAAAGAAAAAGAGGUUCAAGGGAGUUAGUGCAUUCAAGUGAAGAAAU
rnacentral:lncRNA from 1 species